AACGCUGGCGGCGUGCUUAACACAUGCAAGUCGAACGCGAAAGGGACUUCGGUCCUGAGUAAAGUGGCGCACGGGUGAGUAACGCGUAGAGUAACCUGUCUUCAUGUCUGGAAUAAUACGCCGAAAGGGGUACUAAUACCGGAUAUUCUUGCUUUUCAUAAGUUAUGCAAGCAAAGGUGGCCUCUGCAUAUGCUACUGCAUGAAGAGGGGUCUGCGUACCAUUAGCUAGUAGGUGGGGUAAUGGCCUACCUAGGCGACGAUGGUUAGCGGGUCUGAGAGGAUGAUCCGCCACACUGGCACUGGAACACGGGCCAGACUCCUACGGGAGGCAGCAGUGAGGAAUAUUGCGCAAUGGGGGAAACCCUGACGCAGCGACGCCGCGUGAGUGAAGGAAGGCCUUCGGGUCGUAAAGCUCUGUCAAGAGGAAAGAAGUGUACAAUGGCUAAUACCUGUUGUAUUUGACGGUACCUCUAAAGGAAGCACCGGCUAACUCCGUGCCAGCAGCGGC
rnacentral:rRNA from 1 species